GCUGUGGAAGCUUUGUCCUUGCGGUCUUCACAGUAAACCUUGCUACCACUCACUCUUUGGGUCUGUGCCAUCUUUAAGAGCUGUAACACUCACUGUGAAGGUCCACAGCUUUAUUCUUGAAGUCAGUGAGACCAUGAACCCACGGGCAGGAACUGACUCUGGACACAAUGGCGGCUCCUGGCCAGACCCUCAGAACCUGAGGAAGGGUGAUCAUUUCUGGUCCAGUGUCUUGACUGGCACCAAGUCAAGCAUUGUCCUCCACGUCAUCAGCUGCAGGCCAGAUACUCCAAGAUGAUGCCAAACAGUCACUGCAGAUGAAUUUGCUGCACGGAGCUGUCUGGGAUGCCUCAGACCUGCCAGUGGUAGAGCUGCCUGCCUUGCUUCCUCUUGCUUACUCACAGCUCUAAGUCUGAACUUGGCUGCAGCUGUCCUGAACAGCCCAGGAGGAGCCUAGGCAGGAGGAGGCUUCUCUCCUAUGCAAUUUGGCUGAAUUUUAGUUACUCAAAAGAGCAAAGGAAGCACUUCUGAAUGUUCGUCAGGAGGAGCCAACCACCUUAGCUUGCUCCCUGAUGGGUUUUGUUCAGCCCCUGCCUUACUGUUGUCAGCCUGGACUGUCUUCUGGGCUUGGGUUCACCAUGUGUCUGGACCACGGGGGUGUCUCUAGGUGUCUCCCUUCCUGUGCAUUUCUCCUGGGCAUAGACACCCAUCCUGUGGAACACUGGGAGGAGGGUGCAAGACCCCACUGCACCCAGGGUUGGUUCCCCUUGGGUGCAGCAGCCUCAUCCCCUUGCAAGCCUUCCUCCCACUCCUCCCAGAAGGCUCUGCUUCCUCCACUUGCUCCUCUCCUAGGUGUGAGCCAGCAGGGUUUGGUCACCCAGAUAUGAAGUAUUAAUGUUGGACUCCUGUCUGGAGUCGGGAGUCUAUUAAGGAAGACGUGUGGGAGAGGCCUGUGUUCAAGGCCCUUAGAACCAUUCUGCCUGAGCCAUCAGCUCCUUAAAAAGAAAUCACCAAAUAUCCCAAACAAUGGCAGACUCCCCCUCCCACCCUUUGGGCUACUUGGUAAAUAGGCCCACCAAUUCUAUCUCCAAAAUAUCUCCCAUCAGGACCAUGUGUAUAUUGACAUCUUUAUCUUCCAUCAGGUCAGGGUUGCCACAAAAGCCUCCAUCCAAAUUUCCUGAAAAAGCCCAGUUUCUCUAAAUGUGUGCAUGAACACGGUGCUGGGCAUGGCCCUCUCCUCUCAGUCCUUCUGCGACGCCCAGUGCCUUCACAGCCAAGGCCAGACUUCCUAGUGGAAGAGCAAAGUCCCUCCUGACACGGCUUCUGCUUGCAUCUGCAGCCCCACUUCCCCCACACCACGCUGCACCCCGAGCUCCUCACGGAGAGCCACCGUGUUUCACACCUGCUGUGCUCUGGGCCAGGUCGCUGGGCUUGCUGGUCUUUAGACUUGGAGCACCUGAUGCUGUUUGCCCAUCUGUCUCCUUGUCAGCCUUUGAGAAUUGGAUCUGGCAGCCCCUCCUCAGGAAGCCCAUGAGAGCCUCCGCCCCAUACUCACACAGACCCUGAGCUAGGUGGCCCCUGCCUGUGCCCCUCAGCUCCAAGCCCAGCUUCCAUGCAGCUUUAGCACAGUUUACCAGCACCAUCAAGACCCCUCUGGGAGGACAGAGAGCUCUGGGAGGACAGAGAGCUCUGAAGGACAGAACACGCAUGCCUUUCUGGUUGUUCCUCUGAAGCCUAGCACAACACUGACACGUGAGAAAUACCGGCUGAAUAAAAGGUGGAAGUGAAAAAGAACAACACUGACACGUGAGAAAUACUGGCUGAAUAAAAGGCACUGUGCAUUCCCUGCCCAUGAGGAAGGAAGCAGCUUAUUCCAUUUUCACCCCAGCAGAACCCCUGCAUGCAGGUUUAGGUCAACACUAGCUGCCAGCAGGAUGAAGACCCAGCAGCAUGUGGCACAUGGGAGUCUCGCCGCGGGUCCUUGAUAGAAGAGUAACGAGACUUUUCUUGAAAUAGUGUCCUGAGUUGAGAUCUGAGAAGAACCUGUUAUGCAUCCUAGAACACAGUGCAUUUGCAAGUCAUAAGAUGUUAGCACCGAUUAUGGAGCCUCGUGUGUUCUUAGGGGCUAUUUCCGUGACCUCAUCGGGGGUUCAAUGAGCAGCUUCAACAGAAAACUGGAUUUCCUUUUCCUCCAAGGCUGUCUUAUUUCCAGAUUACUCUGGACCUAAUUUUAAUCGUGCACACCUACCAUGGCAGGCUGUUUUCCUGUCCUCCCAAUGAUCUCCAUACAAUCUCACUGCUGGGUAGCACCUCCAUUGCCUUGCUUACCUAAGCCAUCAAAACCUGCAACAACUCACAAAACCACAAAAAGCAACAGAAAAUAUCAGAAGAUAUUCAAAUGAAUCAAGACCUCCAGAAAACUGUGCAUAAUAUAAUUCAGUUUUUAUUUCAUUUAAUGAUAAUGUCCACAGUUAAUCAGGCAUUCCUUAUCAUUUGGAUCUACAUGUUGAAUAAACACAACAUCCCUAGACCUUUGAGGGUUUUCUAAAUAAUCUGCUGUUGAUUUUCUUAGGUACUGACCAGAUUACUAUGAAUAUUCCUGAUAGAAUAUGCUGACAAGAAACAAACAGGACAAGCCUAAAAUAGAGGCUCUGGUAAACAUUCAGGGAAAAGUUUAUUACUGACAUGUGAGAGCUCGGUGUUCAAGGUUAAUAAAAUAAAGCUGACAGAAGUCGUGAUGCCUCACAUGACUCAGACCCAUUUCUCCUUUCCCUCGUAGCAGAUACCAGUGGGCAGACAAUUCAAUGAACAAUCUUUGAAUUCUGAUUCCUGACUCAGAAAGAGAAACAAACCCCUAGAGCAGAAAACUUGUUCAGUGACAGGAAAUAUUCCAUACAUGUUUGUGUAACACUGGAAUUCUUCUAAUCGCAUGAGGACAUGACAUGACAUGACAUGACAUGACAGCUGGCAUGCUGGGCACUGCAGUGAGUACGACAGGAACAGCCUGCACCAGUCCACGUGCAAAUAAGAAGGAAAUACAACCUUCAUUCUAAGAGGUUCUCCGAGGUCAUGCAGGCAGCUUCUCCCAGGCUGUUUGUGAAAUAUGGGGGGAAGAUGCUCUCGGAGGACCCAAGCAAAGAAGCCUAUUUAUCCUUGUUAUUCAGCAUGAUCUAACGUAUUUGACCACACAUACUCACCUUUUACUUUUCUAAAACUCCUGCUACAUCCUCUGAACUAGAGUUUCAGAGUGCACAGAGUGGGGCUUUUGCUGCACCAUAAGCAACAGCAACUCCUCCAGCUUUGUGCUUUUAAAAUUCUGUCAUGACACCAAAGUUCUCAUUGAGAACUUUAUCUUGUUAAAGUUCUUUAAGAAGCCCCAAGUCCUGAAUUCUUUUUUUCUUUUUAAUUUUUUAAAGACAAACAUUAAAUAUUUGAGGUUUAUUCUUACACAUAGUGACUCUAACCUUGAGAAGUUUAAAUAUGCACACAUGUACAUGCUUUGGUUCGCAUGCACAGGGGCCUGGCAGAUGCAAGCCUCAUGGUAGACAUUGACCAGCAGCAGCUGCUCUGUUCCUCUGGGAGGCGGGUGCCCAGGAUGGCAUGCAAUGCAUUCCCCUGCUCAGUGCCACAAAAGAUCCAGAGGAGCCGACACGGUCCAUCCCACUCCUGUGAUGCUGCAGCUCUGGGGGCGUCACUGGAGAGGUCAAUGUGCUGGUCACGGACUUCCCAAGAUUCCGGCAGAUGACAGCAUGAAAAUUCACUUUCUUUGUGGGUCAUUGAUUAAGGGAUGGGCAUAGGGCCCAAUUCGAUCCCAUGAGUUGCAGGGAGACUCCCCUUGGAGAUUUUUCUCUGGACGGAUUUAUGGCUUCAGUUGGGUUCCCUGGAAAUGAUUUAUGAGGGUGUUUUCUUAGGAACAACAACCAUAAGUCAGGAAAGCAGGAUUGGGCAGAGGCAGUUCAGAUGGAAUGUGGUCUCCACAAGGACCUCCGUUCCCCCAAAGGCAGCAGUGGAUCUGAGAUAGCCCUUCAGAGGCCAUCACAAAUAGAAGCCAGGCAGUGGGCAUCUUCUUCCUGCGUCUAGUCACUGGUGCAGGCUGUUCCUGGAGAGUGGGCAUCACCUGGGCUAUGUGUCCCCUUUCCUUAGAGAGUCUCAGCUGUGAGCCUUCAGCAGCUGGUACCGCCCGCAGUGGGAGAAGGAGUAGCUACAUCCUGAUGAGGUUUCCUGGGUGCUGC